GACGAACGCUGGCGGCGUGCUUAACACAUGCAAGUCGAGCGAUGAAAUCCCUUCGGAGAUGGAUUAGCGGCGGACGGGCGAGUAACACGUGGGUAACCUGCCUCAUAGAGGGGAAUAGCCUUCCGAAAGGAAGAUUAAUACCGCAUAAGAUUGUAGUACCGCAUGGUAUAGCAAUUAAAGGAGCAAUCCGCUAUGAGAUGGACCCGCGUCGCAUUAGCUAGUUGGUGAGGUAACGGCUCACCAAGGCGACGAUGCGUAGCCGACCUGAGAGGGUGAUCGGCCACAUUGGGACUGAGACACGGCCCAGACUCCUACGGGAGGCAGCAGUGGGGAAUAUUGCACAAUGGGGGAAACCCUGAUGCAGCAACGCCGCGUGAGUGAUGACGGUCUUCGGAUUGUAAAGCUCUGUCUUCAGGGACGAUAAUGACGGUACCUGAGGAGGAAGCCACGGCUAACUUCGUGCCAGCAGCCGCCGUAAUAC
rnacentral:rRNA from 1 species